rnacentral:rRNA from 1 species
UACGUAGGGUGCAAGCGUUGUCCGGAAUUAUUGGGCGUAAAGAGCUCGUAGGCGGUUUGUCGCGUCUGCUGUGAAAACUCGGGGCUUAACCCCGGGCCUGCAGUGGGUACGGGCAAACUAGAGUGCGGUAGGGGAGACUGGAAUUCCUGGUGUAGCGGUGAAAUGCGCAGAUAUCAGGAGGAACACCGGUGGCGAAGGCGGGUCUCUGGGCAACAACUGACGCUGAGGAGCGAAAGCGUGGGGAGCGAACAGG